rnacentral:lncRNA from 1 species
GGGCUGCCAAGGUCCAGUUGGAGGCUCAGGUCAUGGCCACCCAGGAAAUGGAACAGGGAGAAAAGGAUCCAGAAACUGAUGAGCACAGGGAAAGAAAACCUUUUGCAGAAACAGAUGAGGAAGACAAGGGGGUUGAUGUAGAGAAGCUACAAGUAAUUGCAGCUGCCAUUAAACAGGGUCUUGCUGCAAAAAGAUAAAGGCCUCAAAAGUAUAUACAAAAGCUUGCAUCAACACCGAGAACAUAACUGAAUGUUAUUUUGAGAACACAGAAUGCAGAAAUGGAAUUAUAGAUAUCCUAUACAGUUGCUGACUUUGCUUCAAGAAUACAACAUAGACAUGUAGAAGACUGAGGAGAGGAAGAAAAACUAAUUAAAAUAUUUCAAGAGCAACAAAAGAGGUGGCA